rnacentral:miRNA from 1 species
CAGCAGACACAUUCCAGCCAAUCAGCAGCAGACCCUCCCUCCCAGACCCUCCCACCUCCUGGACAGCAUCUAUUUUGGAGCUGCAUACUUAGUCAGCUGUCCAAGAGGUGUGAGGGACUGGGAGGGAGGGUCUGCUGCUGAUUGGCUGGAAUGUGUCUGCUG